ensembl:lncRNA
GACAAACAGCUCAGUUCUUUAGAUCUGACUUGUGUUGACUUUCAAAUAUCAAAGCUACUAGUGAGAUGACUGUCAGGAGCAGACAUUUUGAGUAAUAGCUAGUUCAUAGGCAGUAAAUGUGCAUAAGACUAGAUGGGGAUGUCCCCUGGUGUGGCACCAUGGGAGUUCUGCAUAGCUGACAUUAUCAUGAGAAACUGCAUGCAAUACUUGAUGUUCUGCUUUUCACCAAUUCUCAUCUUUAAAGUACAUCAUUUUUGGUAGUUUAUAAGUGGUGUCUUAAACUCUGUUUUAGUACCCACAGAUUUCUUGAAAUCUUUCUGUACCACCUUCCAUCAUUAGACUAGAACUUACUCCUGCAGUUUUCUCCUUUACUCAUGUUUAGUAGCUUCAGAGUAGUUGAUACAAGUAUCAUUCACCAUAUAAAAUACAGAACUGUCACUGGUACAGAAGAUAAAGCAGUUGAUCAUAAAGCAGUGGACUGUGUCAUGUCUUGACUCUUCAUCAUAGCAUUACACUUAAAAAAAAAUGAUUUGGUCUCUGGCCAUUGGCUUUUUUGAUUAUUAUUACUUUAUUAUUUAGAAUGAGGUCUAGAUGAGAAGGUAUUGUGAAAAGAACUAAAUGUCUCUGAGAUUCUUCUCUAGUCUUCUCAGUACAUCCUUCUUGUGCCUUCCUGAUGACUCAUCUGUUGGCUCUUACUCUACUUCAGUGUAGCAAUGUUAGUAGGUACCUGUCUACCUUUACUUGGUUUGGUAAAUGUGGGGGGAGUGGAGACUGCCUGCUAAUGUCUAACACAGGUGACACUGGAAAUGAGUUCUCACCCUAACAUCAUCCUAUGCUGCAAGUUCUGAAGCUCUUCAUGUUUCAGAAGGAGAUUUUGAAAUGCAGAAGGCAGACAGAAAAUGGUGGGUAAAUGGGGUGAUUUAAUAAAAGGAUGCUAAUAGCUACACCAGUAGGAUUCCUGGAUGGAGGGGUCUCAAGUACUGGCCCAGCGAGUAGAGAUAGAGAGUUGUAAAAUUAAUCUUCUCUCAGUUAUUUUAAAUUCUCUAUUUUUCUGACAAAGUUUUGUUCUUACUGUUAAAGAAAACUUAAUAUUCUGUAGCUUACCCAAAUCAUUUAAUGAAAGAACAGUUGAAUUCAUGAAGUCUGUUUUCUUGGCGUUGGGUGUUGUUUUUUUUAUUACACUUAAAUUGUUAGGGUGAUAUGAUGUACAAGUAGUUUAGGUGUAACUAUCCAAAUACAGAGUGCUUGGUUAUAGCCACAUGCUGGCAUCUUCAGACUUGUUAGAGUCUGGUUCAGGUUCUAUAAAUGCAUAGCAAACUACUCAAAGCUUUAAAUGCAAACAGCUGUAAUUUGGGUAGUCCUAAUAUUUUUUUGUGAUACAAAAGAUCAACAUUUCUGGUCAUAAUCAACCAAAUCAACCAUCAGAAAUUGCCAGAUUUUUGGGACUAAACUGAAAUUGAGGGAAGGCAUUUGUCCAUGGUUGAUUAAAAAUUAGUUGUUCAUAAUGGUUCUUAUAGAUAGCCACCAUCCUAAUGUGUGGUUUGUUUCACAAGCUUGGUAAAUGGCUCUAGAUAAGACUUAAUGGAAGAAAAGCUUGUUUUGGAGAUGAGUGUUCAGUGCAUAUCUGGGGUUCAGACUGGCUUUAAUUACUGCCAGGUGAGCUAGCUCAUUAGUGCUUGCUAGUACAUAGUCUGAACCAUAUUAUUAAUAAAGUAAUGUUUGAGAAUUCAAAAAGUAGCCUGUGAUAAACACUUCAGUGCUAGCCCUUGUAUACUGUAGUUACUUAGUCACUUUGAAAAGUGUGUGCUCUCAUGAGUUUGUAAAGAGAUUCAGACCUGCAGAUAAGUUGUGGUUGGUCAUGCUCUACUUAGGGUAAAAGUAUACAGACCUGUUUUCUGUGGGAAAAACUGUGAUGUUCAUAGCUGGCAUUCCAGGGAGGGGAGAUAAAAACAGGAAUGGAUAGGGAAAAGGAAGAAGAGCUAGAAAGCUCAGUUGAGGCAGAAGGCUACUGUAACUGGGGUUACUUAAUAAUAAUUCUCUACGCUUUGUAUGCUGCUGUAACUGACAAGAAUGCUAGAACAACUGGCCUGCUGUGGGGCACGUUAGCAGUUUGGAUAGAUUCAGAUACCUACAUCUUUUAAGAUUGUUUAUGACAGUACUCUUCCCUGCUCUAGAAAAGAAAUCUAGCAUGUUCCAGCUUAGUACUCUUUUCUAGUCACUUCUCCGGUUUUUUUAUGUGUUGUCUCUGCAGAGCUAUAGAACACAAACACUUAAAAGUACUGAGUCAUCAGUUAGUUGUGUUUUGAUAUGUACAUCUCUUUCCUGCUCAUCUUCCCCCACCCCUCUGAAUAUGUAAAGACCUGUACUUUUUGAGGAGAAAUCAACCUUUAUUCCCCAGUUGUAAAAUAAAUGGAAUAGAAAUUGAAAGGUUCUAAAUACUUGAAAAUAUCUACACAGUGAAUCCUAUCAAGCUCUUCAGGCUUAGGUUUUUUUGUCUUUCCAGUUGUUUGUUUUUUUCUCUUGAAGAUUAAAUGCAUCUUGAAGAGAGGCAUUUCUUGUUUCCAAGUGUCUCAUUCUCUAGUUAAUAUAGGAAUGGACACUGCUAGGAGGCUCAUCAGACUACCUCUAUUAGUGCACUAAAAACAUGAAAAUAAAAGGUUUAGUAAAAAAAAAUGACUUGGAAAAUGUGUGGAAUAAAAGAUAUUCAAAUUGCUAAGAGUAGCAGUGUCUUAAGAUUGUUCUGCUUGUCAGUGGAUUACCAGUCUCUAGAUAAAAAGCUGUUGUCUAGCAAAAGCUUUUGAAAACACAAAAACAGUGACUGAUACCUAAAUUGCGUUACUGGAAAUUGUAGGUGAGAUGGAGCUGUGUAGUUGGUGUUAGUUUAAAUAAUUCCUUUUACUACAUAGGAUAAUAAGCAAGGUUCUGCUCCCAGUUUUGCCGUGUGUUUUUGUGUGCAUCAGAAUUAUCAGAUAAAGUAUGUAAGCAAGUCAUGAAUAUGCAUACAUGUCUCUUCUGCAAUUCAUGAAAUCUCUUCAAAGUUGUUAAAAUUACGUUCUCAAGAUACGUGGCAAGAAGAUCUCUCUUAGUACUUUGUGCCCCCUUUCAACCAUCGCAUAACAAUGCUGGAAGUUCCUGUUGCAGUAUGAUAUCGCUCAGGAUGCUGAAGUUCCUUUUGCACAAGUUUUGCACUCCGAACUACUCAGUUCAUAAGGUGAUUCCAGUCUGAAAGUUGUUAGCAUUCUUCUGUAUGUCACAAAGUGUGUGCUCCUUGAAUCUGUCAGUUCCUUGCAGUAGAAAUACAGCCCUGCUCUUGCAGUAAUGGUCUGUGAGUGUUUCUGAAAGUGUUGGAUGGGAUUUCUGUGCAGGUGAGUAUGCUGUAAGAACUGACUAGGUCUUAGCUCAAAUAAGCUUGCUGACAUACUUGUAAGAAUAAAUGUAGAGAGAAUUUCAAGAGUUGUCAUGAGCAGCAAACAUACUAGAGGUCUUUGGAGUGUUUUGAACAGUCAGCCUCUUGAGCUUGGAAAUGCUCCUAAGAAAUGGACUGGAGAUUCUGAGAGGGAAAAUAAAGAAAGAUUGGUUCUAGUCUUCUUGGUCUGUAUGCUUUAAUAUCUGGAUGCCUGGGUAAGUAAAGUAGUCCUUUCCUUUUCUUCCUGUUUGCAUAUCCGUUUACAGAAAACAGGUAUCCCAGGUGAAAUCAAAUGGUAAAACUGAAUACAUCCUGAUGACCAGCAUUUAAGAGGCUGCUUCAUCAGGAUAGUGAAUGCAGGUUUUGCUCCGUGAGAAUUCAUGAGCAAUCUAAAAUACAGGUUGUCUGCACAGAUCAGUGAAAACACUUUGGCUGCCCAGGCCUGAGUCAGCUCCUGUUUGAGGCUGUUUUCAAUUAGGAUGUUUCAUUUUACCUUUAAUUUCCUAGCAACUCGUGUCUAAGGAUUGUGCCAAUGACUUUGACAACAGAUGCUCACUUCUUGUAUCUACUACUCGAGUUAUUUCUGUCUUUUUUUUUUUAAGAUCUGAUUAUUUAAAUUAAGCCGGUAAUAAAGUGCCCAGUCAGUAGAAAAAAAAAAACAGUUAUAUGUGGACUCAUAGAGGUACUGUCCUUGUGGUUUAGAAGAGUAAAAUAGAUUUAUUCAUAUCACAUUUGUGUGAAUAAACUAUAUCCAAAUAUGAGAGAAGGUUGAGAUGGAUAGAAGAAAAAACUUAGUGGUAGAGUAGGGGAGAGAAUGAAAGGGAAGAAAGAUAAUUAUUGAAAUGGAAGCUACAGGUAGGUGAUGUUAAGACUAAGCUUUCUUCACUGAAGUGUUGGACAGUUUGGAUUGAUAAGUGUUUUUCCUCCUCUGGAUCUCCAUAAUGCUGCAGAAAUUGUAUGUAUCGCAAGCCUAGUUUUGUAAACACUGAACUCAGGUUUUUUUCUUUGUUCUAUGAUUUUAGUGCAGGGAAACAGGAAGGGUGGAAAAAAAGUCUUCAGAGCUUUCUUUGCUGGAUUGGUGGACUAUUGUUAAUUCUUAACAUUAUACCUUUGCAUUAAGUACUGAAUGUGUGGAAAAGUGUUUAGGCUUCUCAAAGGUAUCUAGUCUUGCUCUGUUCACAUACUAUAUACAGAGGCUUUGGGGGCUUGUUUCUCUUUAAAGAGAAUAAAAACAUAAAAUGUUACAUAUUGAAUUAAAAUAGUUUUUCCUUUUGAUUCUCUUAAACACUGUAAGUCACUACAGGUCAAUAAUUCAAGUUACUUCCCUAAUUCACAUAAGUCAGUAACAAUAACUUUUUGUUAUGGAAGUUGAAAAUAAUGGUUAAAGAAGGUUAAAGAAUGCUCAGAGCCUUGGAGAAUGAAGUCUCUCCUGGAUUCCAACUGAAGAUGACUAUUCUGUACUGAAACAACUUUGUGAGUCUUACAGCCUUUUCCUGGCAGCGUAGCCCACUGUAACCCAUAUACUGAUUAGAUGCUUCUCUGGGUUGCUUCAGUGUAGUACUUGUCAACAUACCUGGACACAAACUGGAAUCUGAGGUAUACCCCUCAUCUACCAGCAUAAUUCCCUCCCCAGCUCAAGCAACAUCUGUGGCCUUGAUGGAUGUACUUCAUGCUCUGAUGUGGGAAUGGUUACCUGAGGAAAUAGUCUGUAGAAGCUAUGAACAAAAAUAAGAAGCUGGGGAGCCAACAGGAUGUUUGAUUAUCAUGAAUGACAUAUACAUGCUAAAAGGAAUAGACCAUGGAAGUUGGAUGAAAUUAAGCUGAGAAUUAAAAUAACCAACUGUUCUUCGUGUGGUGGUAUUGGCUUCCAGAAGUGGCAACAGUGAGAAACUUGUAUAUGGCUGAGAAUAGGAUGGCUAGAAAAAUGCUUUCCUGUGUAGUAUCUGCUACAAAUAUCAGGAAAUGGAGGAAAAUCAGAAAAUCAGGAAAGAAUCACUUGCUAAACAGAGUGUAUGGGAACUGUUGAGUCAUGGCCUGAACCACUGAUGGAGCACCUAGGGAAAAGACCUCGUCUGCAAGAACUUUUAAGUUAAGUUCAUGUCAUUAGAGGUAUAAAUACAAUAUUAGGAAGUAAAUAACGAUCUUUAUUUGAUCAAAUACAAAGUUUACAGAAUGUUAAUAGGAUGACUGUUACAAUGUGUGUUAAGUGAGAUAAGAAAGUUGGUGACAGAACUUACUUUAUGCUUCAUAUAAACUGCUCUGGGAAAGAUGCUAGCUAGCUGUUGCUAUGUUUGAACAGUUGGUGGCUCCAAUGCUUUGCAGCUGUCGCUAUACAAGUCGCCAAAACAAGUUAAUUCAGUUCUAGCUGUGUAUAUUGAUCUAGUUAGAAAUCUAAAAUCAGAAUCACAGACCUACUAAAUAAACACUCCCAACUUUAAGUCAUUUUGUAAAUACUUAAUAGUUAAAUAAGCAUGAAUUUCAAUAUCCUGUCAAGCUUAUGAUAAUUUAAGAGGCCACCUUGCAAAACGGCUGUUCAGAAUCGGUAGCUAUGUUCCUACAGCCAGCAUAGCUAGCAAGACUGCUUCUACUCCAUAUUGCAGGAUUGUACAGGUGAGACAGAUGACAGAUACCAUGACUGAAAGGGAGGCAGGGGGGAGUUGUCAAAAGGUCAGUUCCUGGGAAAGAUGCAAAGAAAAUCGUAUUUACUGUGCAGUCAUUCCUUAAAUUGAGCCUCACAAAUGUUUAUAUGCUUUAAAAACAUGUUUAAAAUAAGGGGUUUAGUGGGCAGUGGGUUUUGAGAGAGCAAGAUUAUAGCAACAGAAGAGCUGAUGAUGGUGAGCUGUCAUUUUUGGUGGCUGCAAGAACUAUUAAUAAAAGGAGAGGUUAGAUAUAAUAAAUAACUUUGUAUAAUGUAUUAGUUCAGAAUUUUGAAGAAAGCUUUGACUUAAAAAAUAUUUAAAUAGAAAUAGAAAUUUCCAUGGAUGCAUAUACAUACUUUUCUAAUGUGUUUUUUUUGCUUGUUUUUAAUUCUUGGUUCCAGAAAAUGUCAUUGGAGCAAUGGAACAUUCCUCCCUGAGUUUUCAUAUUCCGGGAAAAAUAAAGUGUAGAAUUAUUUUGUUGGGAAACUAGUUCAUGUAUUUUAACUGAAAUAUAAAUAUUAUGCCAUCCUAAACUAUUGUAUGUACUACAUAUUCUAAUUUUCCUUUGUCUUGUUUCUCAUUUGGAUUAUAUUAUUGUGUUCCCUUCUUUAAACUUCGGUAUCUUCUCAUGGGAACAGGACUGCAGGACAAUCAUGAGGACUGCAAACUUCAGAUAGGGUUUAGCUCUCACAGCUAAACUGGGGUAGAUAACAACUUGAAAAGAUGUAGGCCUGUUGUUAGAUUUGGCCUGGUUUGGCCUAUUACUUGACAAGGGGGUGAAGGGACCCAUGGACCCCCACCCUGGGAAAGGGAGGGGAAGGGAAAAGGUAGGAAAAUGGGCCUGGAUGAAUGAUAAUGGCAGCAAUGGCCUAAGGAAAAACUUGAUUUAUUAAAUACAGUAAUGGAAUGUGAGAUAACGCAAUGUAGUACAGUAUGAUUGGAAUUGAAGUUAAUAAAUCAAAUGAAAUGAGAGUUUCUGAAACCGAAGUCCAUACUGUAGGCAAAACUGCCAAGGAGCAAAGAGAAAGGUCUCAUGAGUCCCAGUCAGUUUUCUCUUACCCUCCAAAUGAAAAUGGAAAAAUGAAGGCUUCUGGGAGUUGUAGUUCAGCUCAGUAUUCUCUUCUGAGACGAGGAGACUGGAAAUACCAACAGUGCACAGAAUUGCAACAUCAACUCUUUAACUCCCAGUGCGCUACAUGAUGUUGUAGUGGAAUACUGAUCCACUGAUGUGAAAAACCAUCAAACCAUGGCACCAGUGAAAUCAUGAAUGCAGUGACCUAGGUCUAUGUCAGUGCAGUCUGUAGCAUUUAUUUUUCUAACUUUGUAUGAUUAAAUAUUAUGCACUGAUGAAAUUCUGUUGGGGCAAAGGUUGGGGUUGUUGCAGUGGGGGACAUCAGUUGCCACAUGCAAAUGAAAUUCCUUAGGAAGACCUGUUUUUUAAUUUCUUCUGUCUCCUGGAGGAGACAAAAAACAUAGAAACAAAAAUAUAGAAACAGCCCUGCUGAGCAGGAUUUGUUUAUACAUCACCCAAAAAUGGAGACAUUAUAUCUUAGUAAUAUUUCAUCAGACAAUAUACUCUAGCAAAAUGACACCAAGGAAAAUGUACCAUUCAACACAUGCUCACUUUUUUUUUUUGCUUUUAACAUUAAGAUUUAUAUAUAUUUUGUAUAGAUACAUAUUUUGAAGUCAUCCAGGAAUUGCACUGGCAGAGAAGGCUGGAAUACUUUUACAGGAGUACUAUUUACAGGAAUCGUGGAGACCUUCUAAGGUCUUUCCAGGUUUUGUUUGUGUUUUUUUUUUUUGUCCUUGCUAUUUCUAAGAAGCACACAUAAAUUCUGCUGAAACUUGAGCUUAAGCUUACAUGCCUGCAUUGUCUUUACAGUGCUCUGAAACACAAAGUGAUUAACAGUAGGCCAAACUCUCGAAGUGUUUACAUGCUGUAAUAUCUAAUUCCUGUUUGUACAAUGGCUUUGUAAGAGCCAAAGUAGAUAUUUGCUCACAUGUAAUAAAUAGCUUCCAUGAAAUGUAUGUUAAUGCUAUUGGCAAGCUAGGAAAUAAAUGCAGUUUUCGGAGAUGGUCUCUCAGGGUAUGCCUUGAGCUAGUCAGCUUACUAGCUGGGCGCAAUUCCAGCUCAUAAAAGACUUUGUUCCUAUGUUAGAAGCAAAUACAGUUUUUUUGUGUGGCAGUAAAUUGUGGUGUAAGAGUUGGUGGUACCUACGUAUCUCUGUAGGUAUGAUGUAUUUAUUUAAUAAGGAGGACCAAGGCCUAUCUCUAUACAUUAGUUUCAUUUAUUCACUAUGAAGUAGGGUAGUGUACUAGAAGUACAACCCAGGAAGCAGUUCACGGGCAGCAGAAUCAUGAAACCUAGUUGUACUGCAGAUGGUUUUGUUAUCCAAAGUAAUCCAACUUCCACUUGAGGCUUUUUAUGUAACUGAGGUGUUUCUGAUAUCCCAUACCUGUAACACCAAGGAAGUACCCGUUAACAAGUUAUUAGAGGCAGAUGGACAUUAACAUAAUUACGCAGUGUGAUUUUUAUGAAGCAUAAGGUUGGAAAUUGAUUUCUAGUGUUGUGAAUUUCAUUACCAAGUUCAUAAACGAUCUGUGUAGUGGUGCAAAUUGCUUAAUUUAUAAGGAGAGCACGUGAGGUAGUUAGGGAGGCUCACAGACUUUCAGUAGAAAGUUAGAGCUCUAUUUUGUUUGUUUAUAGUGUAGAAUGAGGUCUGUGCUAGCAGGUUAAGACAAAAUACUUCUUCAUCAGUAGGAGAAGACUGGCAUCCAGUUUUGACAUCUAGUACCUCAACUUGGUGAAAUUCUGCUCCCUCUCAGCCCAGUUGCUCCAGCUGUUACAGUACAUGUUGGGAUAACCUCAUAAAGACUUUGUGAAGCCCUGUCACUUUGCAAAUGCACUAAUAUCCUGCAUGUUCCCUCAGGAGAGAUGUGGAAAGUUUGAAUUAUUCAAACAAAUGCUCAUCUUGAAUGUGUUAGUGGUAUUAAAAUAAAUCAGGAUGUUUGCACCUGUUUUCUUUGAUACUUCCCUACUUGUGACCAAAUUAUUGCACUUUGGGCUGAACUUGAGAUUUAGUAGGUUCACUUCUAUGGAUUCAGGUGGGACCUUGCGAUGGGGUAUGUCACCUACUCAGCACUGGUAGGGUGUAGCUACUAAAUUUCUGCUUCUGAACAGAUGUCUUUGAGAGUCAGCAUUGAUGGAAACUUAAGCCUUUAAUGACUUCUAGCUGCCUAGAUUUGCCCCAAUUUUGAAUUACUGAAUUCUGAUUCAGUGCUAGUGAAUCAUUCCCCUUUAACUGCCUAACUUAGAUUUCAUGAAUGUGGAAUUAAGACUCUAAAUUAGAAGAAAUAGAGUUGAGAUCCCUCUGAGCAAAACUCAGUGCAGAACGAAACUUGGAAUCAUCACAGAAUCAUAGAAUCACCAGGGUUGGAAAAGACCCACAGGAUUACCCUGUCCAACCAUCCGCCCAUUACCAAUAGUUCUCACUAAACUAUGUCCCUCAACACAGUGUCCAAAUGUUCCUUCAACACCUCCAGGGUCAGUGACUCCACCACCUCCCUGGGCAGCCCAUUCCAGUGCCUGACCACCCUUUCAGAGAAGUAGUAUUUCCUAACGUCCAGCCUGAUUUUUCCCUGGUGCAGCUUGAAGCCAUUCCCUCUAGUCCUAUCACUAGUCACACGAGAGAAGAGGCUGGCCCCCAGUUCUCUUCAGGUAGUUAUAGAGAGCAAUAAAUUAUCCCCUGAGCCUCCUCUUCUCUAGACUGAACAAUCCCAGUUCCUUCAACUGCUCCUCAUUAGGCCUGCGCUCCAGACCCCUCACCAGCUUUGUUGCCCUUUGAACGUGCUUCAGGGCCUCGAUGUCUUUCUUACAGUGAGGGGCCCAAAAGUGGACACAGAUUCUCAAGCUGUCAUAGAAUAACUUUUCUUCUAUGUACUCUAGACCAUACUUUCUUGGAAAAACGUGAGCUGAGGGUUGUACCUGUGUGGAUAGAAACAUUUAUUUAUUUAUUUAUUUAUUCCUGAGAAGACUGAAGUAAUGUUAUAGGCAAACUAACUUCCAAUUCUGCUGGUACAGCAAGGUAUACAGCAUGGUAGAUGUAUACUAAGGACUACAGAGACUUGAGGAAAGACCUUUUUAUCUUUGGGCAUUGGUUUGUAGAGUACGUAUGAUUAGUAGAGGGGUGCACUAUGGUAAAAUAGGAUCUGAAGUAGUGAAGAGUGCUGUAACUUGGGUUUUAUUGUCUUAUGAAAUGUUCUGGGAGGCCUAUUUUUAAAAAUAUUGUUAAUGUUUUACUCUAAGUGCAGCUUUAAGUAGAAUGGAUUUAGCUUUACCUUAUUUACCUUACAAUUUGUGUAGGUAAGGUUUAUGCACAGUUAACAGUCUUGUGAUUCACUGUUGUUUAAAAUUUACUGAAUGUACAAUGUAAGAUUAUUUUUUUUGUUACUGUUGCGGAUUGCUCCUUUUUGCAUGUUUUGGUCCUCUUCUCAUUCCACUUGGGAAAAAGAGGGUGUGCUAACAUCUGUUAUAAUACACACUCUUUGUUCAGUUGCAGGAAGUUGAAGGAUCAAGUGUAUUUUGUUUUUAUGCAUGUCCUUUAGCUUAUUCCUCCUAGAAAUAGUUUUUCAUCUAGUCUGUGCCUGCAUAAACUGAAAAGCUGGGCAUCAGCUACAGAGUUAACGCUUUGCAAGUUGUGUGGGCAAAAGCAACAGUAAAUAACAGAAGUUGAGUGAUACUGCUUUGUGUAUGUAUAAAUACUCAUGUUGUGACUUACCUGAUAACUUAUUAGCAUGCUGCCUCUUGUUGAACAGGUUUCUGAUCACAGAAUCUCCUUGAGCAUCAUUGUUCUGAUUAAGUCAAAGUAUUGCAAACAUAUGGACUAAGGAAAAUUCUCAUCUCUAGGCACAAUAGAACUUGAAUAUUUUAUAACUUAAUGGGGAAAGGAAGAGCUAUUCCCUGUACCUUAUGUGCUUAGAGGAGACCAAAAUAGUUUAAUCUUUUGCAAAUGCUUCAAAGAAGAAUACUGGAGUACUAACUGAAUUAUAUGGGGUUUCCAUAUCUCCCCCACCCCCCCCUAUUGCUGAUGCCAGACUGAAGCAAUGAUACUGAAUGUGGAUUUUUCAUAUUAGGAUUAGAUUGCAGAACAAUUCCAAUUACAUGACACUUUUUAUUCUGUUACACGUGAAUAUUUUGUGUAAGUUGCUGCUUUCCUUUGUUGCAGUCUUCCUUAUUGACUAUUCCCUCUCUGGGAACGGUUCAGAUGUUCUUGUCUGACAGUGUUUUAAUUUCUUAUUUAAAAAAAAAAAAAAAAAAAAAAAAAAAAAAAGGAAAGAAAGAAAGAAAAAAGGUAGGAGGGAGCUCUGCCCCCGCCCGUCCCGCAGCCGGCAGGGGCGCUCGACGGAAGCCGGAUGCGGUCGCUGUGCGCUGGGCUUCCCGGCUACGCGCCGGGCGGCAGCGGGGCUGGCUGCGUGCUGCGGGGCCGCUGAGCGGUGCGUCAGGCAGCAGCAGCACCACAAAGCAGCAAUGCUUCGGGUCUUCGGCGGCAGGUACCGGCCUGCUGAAUUCUCUGUGAAGAUCACGCGAGGAGUUAUGCAGGGAUGGGGAAUUGGGAUACAGAGUGGUAGGGGCAUAAUGCAGUGCAGAUAAACAUCAAAGUUUAGGUUAACAUAGGGAAUAGUAGUAGAAUAGCAUUUGUAACAUGGAGGGGGGAUAGUCUACAAUGCUCCUCUGUGACUUGCAGUUAUUUCCCUGGCGUAGUCUCAUCUGUUCCCUUGUGAGGUCUCGGCUGAUAAAUCACUACAAUCACAAAGAAUCAAACAAAAUGUUUUAACAUUUUCAUUAAAAAUAAAAUAAAAUAAAAUUUAGUAAUUCAUUAAGAAAACCCACACUGACCCGUGUUUGUAGAUAAAUUCUCAAACUUUCGUAAUACUGUUAUGAACUCUUUCAAUAAAACAGUUAAUGGAUCUGUAGAUGAGGUCAACUUAGAGAUGCACGUGAAGUUUUACUGGCGUCACGUAAGUUUAUGGGAUCAUUGGUAGCAGAGCAGGAUAGUGCUAUGAAUGCAAAUGGUGCACAGCUUUUUCAAUUCAAGUCUUCUAGCUUAAUUAUCCUAACCUAAAAUACAAGGAUUUUCUUUAUAUACUUACCAUAGCAACUGUACAGUAAUUCUGCAUAACUGAGGGGGGGGAGGAAAGGUGUUUUGUUGUUGUUGUUGUUCCCUGCUGCUUCUAUAGCUUCAAGGAGCUCCAUGUGAGUGCUGGAUUUCCCCACUAAGUUCAAAGCAAGAGGAUGGUAUCAGAACCAAGAAGAGUUUAUGAAUGGUGGGGGUUAGUCCAGAAGUAGAUGCCUGAAUUUUCCAUAGGCACAUGAUGUGAACAUAGUAGUGAACACAACAGUACACAGUUGUAAUAAGAACUUCCUUAAUUGAUGUGAUGGAUGUAAAAAUAAUAGAUAGGACUCAGGACUGAGAGAGCCUUGAAGAAUGACUUAAAAAGAAAGCUUAACAGAUGUUUGAACUACUUUCAGAUAUCUGAAACAAAGUAGGAGAUAGCAUGAAAGUAUUUCUUCAUUUUAGAAGCUGGAAAUGGAGGCAGGUGCUGCAGUCCUUUGGAAAUCAGCAUCGUGGGUGGGAUGGGAACAGUAAAGGGACUUGCAAUCAAAGCUAAAUGGCCUGUGUUUGACAUGGCAAAAAGGAUGUGAGAGAAGCAGAUGUAAGUAAAGCAAGGAAAAUUAUUUUUGUAGUAGCUCUCUAAAGGGAUACAGGGAGAAUAGCACAGCCAAAUAAAGGGUUUUCAGUGCUUACAAGCAAGAUGACAGUCUGAAGAAGAAUGUUAGCUAUGUACGUAAGUAAAGUUAGUGCUGUAUGCCAAGAGAAAAUAAAGAGAUAGAUAGAAGAUGGAAAUUUGAUUUCUAACAACUCUUUUCGUUAACCUGUAGAAUUGGAGGAUAGAAGUUUCAGUGAGUCGUUACCAAUAGGAGAUAUGAUAAAAUGCCAGUUUGCUUUAAAUCCAUGGGCUCUGGGAUCAUCUGUUGCUGAUGGCAAACUUCUGUACAGUUCAAGAAACUCACAUUGUAUUUCUUAUCUGGCAAGACUUUUCCCCUCUCUUCUAAUAAAUUAUUUUUGUAUCUUUAUUGUGAACGAGCGUGUCUUGUAUUAGGUGUUGAGGAAUCACUUUGUGGUCCUCAGGAUUUCCUCUACCAUCUUCAAGUUGCCAAGUAAGAUCCCACGCUUUCUGCUUCCCACAUCCAAAUUGUUUUCCCCAGUGAUAUUCUUCAAUAUUCAGAAGUGUUCUCUUUAAGAACAAGUGUUUUACUGAGUGGCAAGGGAUUUGCUAUCUACUAACAGCGUACAGACAAGGCAUUGAAUUGUUAAUUAUUUCUAUUUUGAUUGAAACCAC